rnacentral:rRNA from 2 species
CACGCUGUAAACGAUGGGCACUAGGUGUGGGGGGUGUCGACUCCCCCCGCGCCGUCGCUAACGCAUUAAGUGCCCCGCCUGGGGAGUACGGCCGCAAGGCUAAAACUCAAAGGAAUUGACGGGGGCCCGCACAAGCAGCGGAGCAUGUGGUUUAAUUCGACGCAACGCGAAGAACCUUACCUGGGCUUGACAUGUUGAGUGCCGUCGUGGAAACACGACUUCCCUUCGGGGGCUCAUCACAGGUGG